AUAUUGCUUUGCUCAUGUCGGUCGGUCGGUCGGUCCGUCCACCAGGUGGUUGUCGUAUGAUAAGUCAAGAACGCAUACGCCUAGGAUCAUGAAACUUCAUAGGUAGAUUGAUCAUGACUCGCAGAUGACCCCUAUUGAUUUUGAGGUCACUAGGUCAAAGGUCAAGGUCACGGUGACCCGAAAUAGUAAAAUGGUUUUCGGAUGAUAACUCAAGAACGCAUACGCCUAGGAUCAUGAAACUUCAUGGGUAGAUUGAUCAUGACUUGCAGAUGACCCCUAUUGAUUUUGAGGUCACUAGGUCAAAGGUCAAGGUCACGGUGACCCGCAAUAGUAAAAUGGUUUCCGGAUGAUAACUCAAGAAUGCAUACGCCUAGGAUCAUGAAACUUCAUGGGUAGAUUGAUCAUGAGUCGCAGAUGACCCCUAUUGAUUUUGAGGUCACUAGGUCAAAGGUCAAGGUCACGGUGACCCGAAAUAGUAAAAUGGUUUUCGGAUGAUAACUCAAGAACGCAUAUGCCUAGGAUCAUGAAACUUCAUAGGUAGAUUGAUCAUGACUCGCAGAUGACCCCUAUUGAUUUUGAGGUCACAAGGUCAAAGGUCAAGGUCACGGUGACCCGAAAUAGUAAAAUGAUUUUUGGAUGAUAACUCAAGAAUGCUUUUGCCUAGGA